UUCUGUGAGUCGGCCGUACUGGUCUGAAUCUGGCGGACCCGAGGAGGAGCUGACGGGCUCGUACUCCCGACCGCAGCCCCCAGGAGACGUCCUGGGGGU
rfam:Dipodomys ordii contig_60148, whole genome shotgun sequence.